rnacentral:rRNA from 1 species
UAUGGCCACAUCAAGUUGAAAUACUGGUUCCUGUAUGAUCACUGAAGUUAAGCAAUGGUGAGUCUGGUCAGUACCUAGAUGAGUGACUGCUUGGGAAUACCAGGUGCUGUAAG